AUUGAACGCUGGCGGCAGGCCUAACACAUGCAAGUAGAGCGAGCGGCGGAGUGGUGAGCAAGGUCUGGGAAACUGCAUGAAGGAGGGGGAUAACUACUGGAAACGGUAGCUAAUACCGCAUACCAUCAGAUGGGCCCAGAUGGGAUUAGCUAGUAGGUGGGGCAACGGCUCACAUAGGCGUAGAUCCCGAGCUAGUCUGAGAGGAUGACCACCCACACUGUAACUGCGCAACGGUCCCGACUCCUACGGGAGGCAGCAGGGGGGAAGAUUUCGCAAUGGGCGAAAGCCUGAUGCAGCCAUGCGGCGUGUGUGAAGAAGGCCUGCGGGUUGUAAAGCACUUUCAGCAGUGAGGCGUGACUCGCAGAAAAAGAAUCGGCUAACUCCGGGCCAGCAGCCGCGGUAAUUC
rnacentral:rRNA from 1 species